GGCGCACGGGUGAGUAGCGCGUGGGAACCUGCCCCUUUGUGGGGGAUAACCGAGGGAAACUUCGGCUAAUACCGCAUGCGCCGGGAGCAAUCUCGGGAAAGAUUUAUCGCAGAGGGAGGGGCCCGCGUCGGAUUAGCUAGUUGGUGGGGUAACGGCCUACCAAGGCUCCGAUCCGUAGCUGGUCUGAGAGGAUGAUCAGCCACACUGGGACUGAGACACGGCCCAGACUCCAUACGGGAGGCAGCAGUGGGGAAUUUUUCGCAAUGGGGGCAACCCUGACGAAGCAACGCCGCGUGGGUGAUGAAGUCUCUUGGGACGUAAAACCCUUUCGACGGGGAAGAAACCGCAAGGUUGACGGUACCCGUAGAAGAAGCCCCGGCUAACUCCGUGCCAGCCGCCGCGG
rnacentral:rRNA from 1 species